GUAGAUAUAGUUUAACAAAAACGUUAGAUUGUGAUUCUAAAAACAGAGGUUAAAAUCCCCUUAUCCACC
rnacentral:tRNA from 1 species